rnacentral:lncRNA from 1 species
ACCAUCUCCUUUCUUUCUUACAUCCCAAUGUCCAGAUCUGAUAGAGAUUAAAUCUAAGAGAGAAAAAAGAGAGAAGAAGAGAAGAAGAAGGGUUCUUCUUCUCUUCAUGGUGAUCUGGUUCAGAUCCCGUUGGAUCUGCACGAAAGAGUUCGCGCAGCGAUCUCUUUCUUCAAGAUCUAGAAGAAGAGAUCAAGAUCCAUGGAUGAGGAGCAAGAUCUGUAAGGUGCUAGCAUACCAGUGAUCUCGAUGCUC